CAUUAAAAAGCUUUUAUAGCAAUGGAUUUUUAAUCCAUAGAAGGUAUUACCCGUUCACCUUUAAUGA
rnacentral:tRNA from 1 species